rnacentral:tRNA from 1 species
GGUAUAUAGCUCAGUUGGUAAAGUGCUUGCCUCACAUGCACAAGGCCCUGUGUUCGACCCCCAGUACCA